ACGGAGGGUGCAAGCGUUGUCCGGAUUUAUUGGGUUUAAAGGGUGCGUAGGCGGGUUUUUAAGUCAGUGGUGAAAGCCCACAGCUCAACUGUGGAACUGCCAUUGAUACUGAAGACCUUGAGUAUCGUUGAGGUAGGCGGAAUUUAUGGUGUAGCGGUGAAAUGCAUAGAUACCAUAAAGAACACCGAUAGCGUAGGCAGCUUACUAAACGAUAACUGACGCUGAGGCACGAAAGCAUGGGGAGCGAACAGG
rnacentral:rRNA from 1 species